UACGGGGGGGGCAAGCGUUGUUCGGAAUUACUGGGCGUAAAGGGCUCGUAGGUGGCCAACUAAGUCAGACGUGAAAUCCCUCGGCUUAACCGGGGAACUGCGUCUGAUACUGGAUGGCUUGAGUUUGGGAGAGGGACGCGGAAUUCCAGGUGUAGCGGUGAAAUGCGUAGAUAUCUGGAGGAACACCGGUGGCGAAGGCGCGUCCUGG
rnacentral:rRNA from 1 species